rnacentral:rRNA from 1 species
AGUGAACGCUGGCGGCAGGCCUAACACAUGCAAGUCGAACGGCGGCACAGUAAGAGCUUGCGCUUACGGGUGGCGAGUGGCGGACGGGUGAGGAAUACAUCGGAAUCUACUUUUUCGUGGGGGAUAACGUAGGGAAACUUACGCUAAUACCGCAUACGACCUACGGGUGAAAGCAGGGGAUCUUCGGACCUUGCGCGAUUGAAUGAGCCGAUGUCGGAUUAGCUAGUUGGCGGGGUAAAGGCCCACCAAGGCGACGAUCCGUAGCUGGUCUGAGAGGAUGAUCAGCCACACUGGAACUGAGACACGGUCCAGACUCCUACGGGAGGCAGCAGUGGGGAAUAUUGGACAAUGGGCGCAAGCCUGAUCCAGCCAUGCCGCGUGGGUGAAGAAGGCCUUCGGGUUGUAAAGCCCUUUUGUUGGGAAAGAAAAGCAGCAGGUUAAUACCCCGCUGUUCUGACGGUACCCAAAGAAUAAGCACCGGCUAACUUCGUG